AUACUUACCUGGCUGGGGAAAUACCAUGAUCUCAAAUUGGUUUUCCAGAAUGAUGCUCAUCCAUUUGACUGGAAAUAUGCUGAAUCCUGUGAUUUCCCCAAACUCAGGAAACUCAACUGCAUUAUUUGUAAUAAUGGGGAACUAUGUUAAAGCUUA